rnacentral:rRNA from 1 species
AGUGCAUGAAGCUGGAAUCGCUAGUAAUCGCGAAUCAGAAUGUCGCGGUGAAUACGUUCCCGGGUCUUGUACACACCGCCCGUCACACCAUGGGAGCCGACAACGCCCGAAGUCAGUGACCUAACCGAGAGGGAGGAGCUGCCGAAGGCGGGGUUGGUAACUGGGGUGAAGUCGUAACAAGGUACC